rnacentral:tRNA from 1 species
AGACCUGUAGCUCAGCUGGUUAGAGCGCACCCCUGAUAAGGGUGAGGUCGGCGGUUCAAGUCCGCCCAGGUCUA